ncrna:unclassified sequences PGK RNA
UUGCAAUCUUAUCUACGCUAGAUAUAACUAUAGUUAAGAAGAAAGAAAACUUCAAAAGAUAAGUAAUCGCCAUGAAUACUGAUAAUAUUCUU